GUCCAUGGCCUUCGCUGUCAAUGAUGGGCACAGAUAGCACAGGGAAAACCGCAGAACGUCUUGGGAAAAAAGUGAUAAUCUAAACACCAUUAAAGGGCGAGUGGGGGUUACCUCUGAAAUCGAUGUUACUGGGCAUUCAAGCGAGUGAUAGGUAACGCUUAUCUGAUGUCCUCGGUUAUUAUGUUUUGUGAUACAUAAUAGCGGUGACAGAACCUCGAUAGCGCCUGACGCCCGUUAUAGCGACAAUAAAAAAGAUGCCGUGCCUGCUUCUCGAGCUCAGUCUCCGAGGAUCUUCAGCUCUGCCCCGCUCCUGACAGGAUGCCUGCGCCUGAGAAUGAGGAGCUGCCUCUGCUUGUCAACAGUCCAAGGUGCUUCUAUCCAUCUGCUCCCUGCUGUACCAUCCGAACCCCGAUGACCUUCUGGGGCCUGAGAUCACCCACAUCUACAAAUCAGACCACCCUAACUAAGCACCCAUGGUUUUGUCCCUUUUCGAAAUGUGCUUUGCUGCAAAAUUCUCUCAUUGUCUCUUUUCCAACAGGUACAACAAAACUGUGAAGGAAGGAGGACACCGUGAAAGAAACGAGACACACAUCUCACUGGUGUCCACUGGGGUGCUUUUUAGAGCUGCGUCUUCUACUGCUUUGCACUUUACAUGCAAUCUAUUCUUGUCCUUUUCUACCCGCCAUUUCAUCCAUAUUGCACUGAUGCUCUUUUAAGCUUCUCUGGUUCAGGCUGCCCAGGUGAUGCAGCCUCAGAAUAGUUUUACCUGCAAGCUGCUACCUCUGAGCACUUUGUCAGUGACUGCAGCAUUUUAUGUUGAUAUUUUGUCUUCCUUUUUAAAAUCUUUUUUUUUUUGUUGGGGUUUUUUAAUUUUUUUGGUCCCUUUUUUUGCCUGCCUGACUUUUGUCCACUCCAGAGAGUGGAUGAGAAUGUGGCCAUCAUUCAUUUCAUAUUUCAAAUCAUUGUUCUCGCUUUCCGCCCAUGCAACAUCUACUUGAGCUCCCAAUAAGCUGCAAACAGUAAUCUGUCAUUACUUCAUCAUACUCCAUCACCAGCAGUGCGAGAACAUCCAUCCUUCCAGCUUUUUUUUUUUAAAGCAUGGGGUUGUCCCAGCCAUUACCAGACAAGUUCUCCAGCUCUGGAGUGACUGGAAUGGGAACUUCACUACCUGACUGCCCACCGUCUCUGUACAGUAUUAGUCAUACAGCCUGGGAUCCAGUACAGCAUAAGUCUGAAUUGAACUGUGUAAUAAAACUACAGCGUCUAAAUCCAAUUAAGUAAUCCAAUUAAGACAUUUUCUCAUAGUUUUCAUGUAAUUGCUUUAAUUAAACAGUAUUUUAUUAAUGGUUAUGACAACUAAUUAGAAAUAAUUUUAGGUAAAAUCAUUCUCAUUUGUCAGGUGGCCAACACACCACUAGAUGGUGCUCCAUCAUUGAGAUAUUUCUUUUUUCCCCCCCGCACAUUUAUUCCCUCACAGUGACCCGAGCAGUCUUUUUCCAGGGCAACUAAAUUCUAUGUCAUUCUUUCUGGUAAAUAUUUCAGUUAAUAGUCUGACUUGUUAUCUGGCUGGUGAGCAGCAGUGGUCGUGUCCUAUCAUCACCUCGUGGGUGAACACAUGCGUUAGACCACACCUGUUCCUGUGCUGACACUAUGAGUCAUUCAGGCCUUGAGGUUUAAGACACACAAACCUCUCCUUCACUAUGGAGACUCUGAUCCCUACCCCUCCGCUGUGACUUUGAGCUACAGAGUCCAGGUGGAGUUAAGGAGUGUGUGCUUCACCCCUCCCUCGCUCUCUCACCCCCCCCCCCUCCCUCUUCCACUCCAGCUCUCCUCUCAGCUGUCGUGUUGGGUCAGAGCUGCUCCUCGCGCCUCUCAUCAUGCCAGGCAGCCCUGUGCAGGCGGCCAUAUGCUCCUGUGGGUCCGGAGAGAGGCAUGCCCCAAAAUGUAGCUGCUGGGGGUGGGGUGAGGUUGUGGGCUGAUGAGCAGUAGAGAGAGGCACCAGGGAUAUGUGAAGCAAAGUCACAUGGAGAAAAUAAGUGGCUGAGUUCAUCCCGUCCUGCUGUAGAGCUUUAGAGGGGUGGUGAAGACAGGCAGGGUUGCAGCAGGCCUGUGGUGUGUGCGUGUGUGUGUGGGGGGGGGUAAUGGCUGUUGUGCCUGUGUGGAAAGAUCAGGCAGCUUGCAACAUUCCUCAUCAAGAGAAGCUGGACAUCCUCCUCUGCUUCCUUUUCUCUCUGACUCUCUGUCACUCUCUUUUUCUGGUCUCUCACUGUCCGUCGCUUUUUCUGGUCUCUCACUGUCUGUCCUUUUCUGUCUUUCUCAGGCAGUAUUUAUGGGUGCUCCUGUGGUGCUGCUCAUGUGUGCAGCUGGAGAGAGAGGCAGUGUAACGCUUACACCCCCACCCCCCACCCCCCAACAGGAAAGUGCUCUGCCUCGUCUCACACAGAGAGAAAACAACAAAGAUCCGAGUGUGGCCGCAGCCUCAAGGCUCAGCACGCCCACCACAACAUCUCCUGUGUCACGGCUUGCUGCUCUCUCUCUCUCUCUCUCUCUCUCUCUCUCUCUCUCUCUCUCUCUCCCUGUUUCUCUGCCCAAGAGACAAAAUGUUCACUUAAACUGGCUUGGUCUGAUUUUGCAUUUUGUCUUUACUCCAAGGGCACGUGUACAACAAAUGCCCACUCUUACAUGUAUUUAUUCAUGAACCUCUCAUUUGAGAAGAUAAGUGACUGUCAUAUCAAAACUCACCUGCAAGAGAGAACAAGCUACAAGCUGUAAUUAUAACAAAGAAAAUACAACACAGUGUGUAUGUAAUUAACUAAAUAGUGGAUUAAUAAGACAAUCUUGAAAGCUAUGUGGUAAGUCCUCAGACUCUCACCAGAGGAUGAUAUAAUGCCCUCUCACAUGCACAAAUUCGGUCUAUAAAAAAGUAGUGUGGUAGAAACACUUCACAUGUACCCAGCUAUUUAGUGAUUAAUUGGUGAUUUUUGUUUCCACAUCACCAUGCAUUCCUAUAGCUUUUACUGCUGCCUAGAAUAAUCAUUAUCACUAGAGGGCAGUAGAGAGAAACUAGCCCAAACAUAUUGGUGAUAUUUUAUUGUUGGUGCUUAUUAUUUGUAUUACAGAAGUUAAAAAAAAAAAAAAAAACCUUAUAUGAUUGAUUAUUACUGCAUUCCCAAGCCUCAUGAAAAUGCUAUUAAGCUUGCAUAGCAUAUUAGCAGCGCUUUUAUUUUAAUCACUGAAAGUCCAAAUGAAUACAGCUCUUCUAUGUGUGCAGCCGAUGUGAAGGGAUAAGGGCUGGAGGUAAACCUGAGAGCAGUAACUUCUACUAAAAAGGACAGGAGUGAUCAUAACUACAGUGUACACUGAUACUUCACUAAAAAUGACAAACAACCAUGGAUGUUCUUUUCCACCAAAAUAGUAACUAGAGUCCAUUUACAAAAUAUCCAAGUACUUUAUUGAUUUCACAAGUUAGCGAACAAUUCAGUUUAUUGGAAAAACUGAUAGUGCUGCAUUGUCUUAUAUAUCUUAUAAUCUCUAAGCAAUGGAACAUGUCACCUUUGGAUUCUCACAUCCAUUUUUUCUGAGUUCAUAGGUCACUUCUGUGGGAGCCAUCAGAGCAAGGGUCCCAGUACCUCUGCCCCACUCAGGUGUGGGUUAGUGUCUACAUUGCAAUUCUAGAAGUUUACUUUCAAUUUUCUGAUGUUCCAAUUAAAACCGCUGAAAACGUUAA